UCUAUUUAUUUGUAUUAUCGAGCCGGAGCCUGCAUGGGCACUGAUGAUAUGGGCCUGGGCUAGAAAAAAGAAGCGGAGGGAGAGAGAUGAAGACUGGCUACAUAGCUACAGUACAGCCAGUAGAUAGAGGCUAAGUCAAACUCAAAGUGCAAUAUCCAGCCAGAUUCCAGGUGCAGGAUGGCUACUCAAACAGCUACAGUUUUCAGUACUCUGGCCCAUGGAUGUGGCUCCUGGGAUGGUGAUUUGCAGAAAGAACUUGAUGAUGGAAUUGGAAAUAAGUCCAAGCUGCUGCCAAACAGAUCAAAUCUAGACGGUGAGUCGGAUGAUCAUCUGGAGAAACGGGUGCACAUUCCAAUCCGCAUCAAGUCCCAACUCUCUCAGAUCAAGAGCAUUCUUCGCGAGGCAUCCAAGAGAUACCCUGAACACUCCAAGGCAGCAGAGCAAAGCUUGGCUGACAUCAUCAAGAAGAAGACUGAAGGCACAGAGUAUUCUCAUCCGCAUGGCUUGAUGAAGUCUCGCCCUCGGACAGGUGUUAUCCGUGCCCACAAACAGCAGCACCGACCCGGCCUGGGGGUGGGGAUCAGGCCCCAUCGGUUUCAUCAGCGAGCAAAGAGUGCUCCAUCGUCUCGCCCUUCGUCUCAGAGUCAGACCCUGUCGAAGAAGAAAAGUUCAGCGUUGCCAAAAACCCUGACAACCAGGAAGGGUGCCCUCAUGAUCUUCACAUCGCCCAAGAAUGUAGCGUACUCGGUACCGGAGCAGAAAUGUUAUUAUGUUGAUCCUGAGGCUGUGAACUUGGACGAGUGGGCAACCAAUCUACGGUCUUUCAAAAGAUUAACUAAUAGUGUCAUGCAAUAUGGCUCUGAGAUUGGAGAUGAUAUUGAGUCUCUGGCCUCGGACUACGACACGUCUUGCUUCAAGUUUCAACGGCAAGAAGAUGAUGAUGUUGGUGUGGAUUAUAGGAUACAGCCCGGCGGUGACUUUGUCUUCUACCUCAAAGACUUGAAGACCAAAGCAGCUGUAAGGAACGUUGUAUCAUCCCUGUCGUAUGGCUCUACACCGGUCCUAUAUGAGGAAGAGGAAGGAGAAGAUGUGCAUCAAAGACUUGAUGAGGAUGAGACUGACACAUGGCCACAGGAGGAUGACAGCGUGCCGCCCAAGAUGGAAUUCCUACAUCCAGUUGGAACAGAGCCCAGAAACCGAGCAUGGGGGAGUCGGGCAGAAACAGAGAGCUUGAGCAAUGCUGAUGCUCUAACACAAGGCAAGACUGAGCUAAGCAAUGGUGGAGAAAAUAAUCUACGAUUUGCUCCAAGGAGUUCCACUGCACAAUCUGUGGAAUCAAAUUUGAUGGCCAGACCUGAUACUGCAAGGUCAACCAGAUCAGUUACAAGCCUCAGGUCAGGCACGCCUCUGUCUCUCAGAGAUCUCACAGCAUCUUUGAAAUCUGGUGGAUACCUCGGCCGACCAGUGAGUGCCCCUUUCCCACCAUACUCCCCACAUCCGCGAACAGCAUCACUGCCAACGGAAGAAGAGGAGGAGACGGAGGAUGAUGAUGAGGAGGAGGAGGAGGAUGAGGAGGAGAGGGCUGCUUCCGUGAUGUCACACUUGCGGCAAUCCUCCAGACCUCGCUCGAGCAGACCAAGCUCCAGGAGGACACAGGGCAGCGCAGAACCUGCGGAAGAUGUCAUUGAUGGGAGGAGCUCAAGGGGUACCAGGAGUAGGAAGUCAUCUGCAGGGGUGCGAUCCAAGCAUGGGAUGGAGGAGGAUGCUGUAGGUGAAGGGGAGGAUGAUGAUUGGCAGUCUGAAGAUCUUGCAGAGUUAGGGGUCGAUGACCUGGAGCCUGAUGCUGCCCUACCUCCACAGGUUGAUGAUAUUGGUGGAGAUAUUGAUGUAGGUGGGCAAGUCUUUGCACAGGCUGCUGAUCCUAGGAGCCAAUCAAGAGCAUCCUCUAUCCCGCCCAGGAUGUACACCCCACAGACCAGAUCUUCCCUGAGGUCUACCCCACCCCAGAGGGGGACCAGUGGCCAGGGUUGGGGGGCAUCGGAGGGGAGGAGGAGGCGGUGCUAGCCAGGAGUAGGCCAUCCUCUGGUGUAACACGAACAAGCUCUGCCAAAUCUAGACAGUCAAGCCGUAGCAGACCUGGUACCUCAGGUUCAGUCAGGUCUACUGGCCUAGGAGAGGAUAACAUUCAGGAGGAGGAGAUAGGUCCUAGUCCUACAGAAGGAUUGCAAGAACAGCCUGCUCAUCAUGGACAAGGUGAUGGAGACACUUUGCAACUUUUGGUGAAGGAGUUGGUAUAGUCCAAGAAUCUGAGGAAAACACCAGGCCUUCAUCCAUCCCGUCGCGCCCUUCAACCAGUCACAGCCCCGCCCCGCCUCAACCUGUGAUAGCAGACUCCCCCAAGCCCCCUACCCCAAAGCCUAUGAUCAUCACCCCCAAAGCUGCCCUCCGGUUGUACUCCACACCCCUACCCCGCCCUCGGCCAGAGUGAAGUCUGCUGUAGGGAAGGUCAAGGUUCAAGCAAAGACUGAGGAGAAGAAAAUGGC